UGGGGAAUAUUGGACAAUGGGCGAAAGCCUGAUCCAGCAAUGCCGCGUGAGUGAUGAAGGCCUUAGGGUUGUAAAGCUCUUUUACCAGGGAUGAUAAUGACAGUACCUGGAGAAUAAGCUCCGGCUAACUCCGUGC
rnacentral:rRNA from 1 species